GCAGACACAUUCCAGCCAAUCAGCAGCAGACCCUCCCUCCCAGACCCUCCCACCUCCUGGACAGCAUCCAUUUUACAUUCCUUGUGAAGCUGCAUUCUUAGUGAGCUGUCCAGGAGGUGGGAGGGUCUGGGAGGGAGGGUCUGCUGCUGAUUGGCUGGAAUGUGUCUG
rnacentral:miRNA from 1 species